rnacentral:siRNA from 1 species
UGCCAAAUCACUUGGAAGAUCGGA